CUACGGGCGGCUGCAGUAGGGAAUAUUGCACAAUGGGGGGAACCCUGAUGCAGCAACGCCGCGUGGAGGAUGACGCAUUUCGGUGUGUAAACUCCUUUUAUAUGUCAAGAAAAUGACGGUAGCAUAUGAAUAAGCACCGGCUAACUCCGUGCCAGCAGCCGCGGUAAUACGGAGGGUGCAAGCGUUACUCGGAAUCACUGGGCGUAAAGGACGCGUAGGCGGGUUGGAAAGUCAGGUGUGAAAUCCUACAGCUUAACUGUAGAACUGCACUUGAAACUUCUAAUCUAGAGUAUGGGAGGGGGAGAUGGAAUUCGUGGUGUAGGGGUAAAAUCCGUAGAUAUCACUAGGAAUACCUAAAGCGAAGGCGAUCUCCUGGAACAUUACUGACGCUAAGGCGUGAAAGCGUGGGGAGCAAACAGGAUUAGAUACCCGUGUAGUC
rnacentral:rRNA from 1 species